rfam:Lepisosteus oculatus linkage group LG9, whole genome shotgun sequence.
GCCUAAAUAGCUCAGCUGGGAGAGCGUUAGACUGAAGAUCUAAAGGUUCGAUCCCGGGUUCCGGCA